UUACUCCUGAGUCUCCGGCCAGUGCUGUUGCCGACCUUCUCAGAGAGCGAAUGUUCGGCGGAAUCUCAGAGGCUUCGGAUCCUCGCCUUCUUGCUCUUACUGGUCUCCUAGCCAGCUUUACCAAGGAGCAAGCGUCCUUCCAAUCUCGCUCUCGUGAUGAGCUUGUAUCCUCGAUCAGGGAAAUGCUGCUGAUGGUAAAUUAUUUUUUCCCUUUCUUUUCAGUUUGUUUUACUUCUUUUUCUUGAUGGUUGUUAUUCUGUACUAGGUGACGGGCCUCCUUAUGGAGGUGGACGUUCGUGAUCGCUCCUUUCGGGAGUCUGUAGACCGUCGGAUUGAAGAGGCGCGUCUGGAAGAGAACUUAUCUGCAACCAGCGACGCGAGGGGUAACCUGGCAGCUGCUCGGGAGCAGAUCCAGUCCCUUC
rnacentral:lncRNA from 1 species